CCCUGGGGGCGUUCUCGCUGUUGAUUAUCCCGUGGAGCCCGCAAGGCUUUGUCUGUGCUGCCAGUGAGACAAUGAGUGCUGAGCCUCACCGGCGUUGGAUGUGAAGGAAGGCGGCCGUGUCUCGCCCACCCUGGCAAGGCCACACGCGUGUCCCAGCGUGGGAUGCGGGGCGCGGGGAGCCAGCCUCUGCGAGGAGAUGAGGCUGAGGCAGGCAAAUCACCUGAGGUCAGGAGUUCGAGACCAGCCUGGCCAAGGUGAACCCCGUCUCUACU
rnacentral:lncRNA from 10 species